rnacentral:rRNA from 1 species
AAAUUGAAGAGUUUGAUCAUGGCUCAGAUUGAACGCUGGCGGCAGGCCUAACACAUGCAAGUCGAACGGUAACAGGAAGCAGCUUGCUGCUUCGCUGACGAGUGGCGGACGGGUGAGUAAUGUCUGGGAAACUGCCUGAUGGAGGGGGAUAACUACUGGAAACGGUGGCUAAUACCGCAUAACGUCGCAAGACCAAAGAGGGGGACCUUCGGGCCUCUUGCCAUCAGAUGUGCCCAGAUGGGAUUAGCUUGUUGGUGAGGUAACGGCUCACCAAGGCGACGAUCCCUAGCUGGUCUGAGAGGAUGACCAGCCACACUGGAACUGAGACACGGUCCAGACUCCUACGGGAGGCAGCAGUGGGGAAUAUUGCAC